GGAUGGGUUUCACAUGGCACACUGUUCACUAUUUGGUGCUUUUGACCAGGGCCCAUAAACACACACUGAUGGAGGUUCUUGGUGUUUUUGACCAGGGCCCAUAAACACACACUGAUGGAGGUUCUUGGUGUUUUUGACCAGGGCCCAUAAACACACACUGAUGGAGGUUCUUGGUGUUUUUGACCAGGGCCCAUAAACACACACUGAUGGAGGUUCUUGGUGUUUUUGACCAGGGCCCAUAAACACACACUGAUGGAGGUUCUUGGUGUUUUUGACCAGGGCCCAUAAACACACACUGAUGGAGGUUCUUGGUGUUUUUGACCAGGGCCCAUACACACACACUGAUGGAGGUUCUUGGUGUGCCCAUAAACACACACUGAUGGAGGUUCUUGGUGUUUUUGACCAGGGCACAUAAACAUACACUGAUGGAGAUUCUUGGUGCUUUUGACCAGGGCCCAUAAACACACACUGAUGGAGGUUCUUGGUGUGCCCAUACACACACACUGAUGGAGGUUCUUGGUGUUUUUGACCAGGGCCCAUAAACACACACUGAUGGAGGUUCUUGGUGUUUUUGACCAGGGCCCAUAAACACACACUGAUGGAGGUUCUUGGUGCUUUUGACCAGGGCCCAUAAACACACACUGAUGGAGGUUCUUGGUGCUUUUGACCAGGGCCCACUAACACACACUGAUGGAGGUUCUUGGUGCUUUUGACCAGGGCCCAUAAACACACACUGAUGGAGGAUCUUGGUGCUUUUGACCAGGGCCCAUAAACACACACUGAUGGAGGUUCUUGGUGCUUUUGACCAGGGCCCAUAAACACACACUGAUGGAGGUUCUUGGUGCUUUUGACCAGGGCCCAUAAACACACACUGAUGGAGGUUCUUGGUGCUUUUGACCAGGGCCCAUAAACACACACAGAUCUUUAUUGAUGGUAUUGGAGGAAUAUUACAUAUAUUUGUAUUUCAGGAAUAUUACUUUGUUGGUACACUUCCAAAUAUCAUUUUAAGUAGUCAAGAGUAUAAUGAUAACAAAUAUAUCCUGC